AUUGAACGCUGGCGGCAUGCUUUACACAUGCAAGUCGAACGAGUGGCGGACGGGUGAGUAAUGUAUGGGAACGUGCCAGUGGAGGGGGAUAACUGCUGAAACCGUGGCUAAUACCGCAUACUAUUGGAUCUGCCGAUAUGGGAUUAGCUAGUUGGUGGGGUAAAGGCUCACCAAGGCCACGAUCCCUAGCUGGUCUGAGAGGAUGACCAGCCACACUGGGACUGAGACACGGCCCAGACUCCUACGGGAGGCAGCAGUGGGGAAUAUUGGACAAUGGGCGAAAGCCUGAUCCAGCCAUGCAGCGUGUAUGAAGAAGGCCUUCGGGUUGUAAAGUACUUUUGGCAGGGAAGGGUAUCGCAGAAGAAGCACCGGCUAACUACGUGCCAGCAGCCGCGGUAAUUC
rnacentral:rRNA from 1 species